rnacentral:ncRNA from 1 species
CAUGUGAAGGACCAGCAGACUGAUAGCUCUUUCUUCAUUCUACGGGUGGUGGUGCAUGGCCGCUCUUAGGCGGUGGAAUGAUUUGUCUGGUUGAUUCCGUUAGCGAACGAGAUGUUCGUCUGCUACAGAGGACCGAAAACCGCGCAUAGGUGCUACUGCUGUCGUCCUGCCAUGGAACUGUGUGCUGCUAAGUAUCGCUGCAGGUGUCUGAUCUGCU